rnacentral:rRNA from 1 species
UACGUAGGGAGCAAGCGUUAUCCGGAUUUACUGGGUGUAAAGGGCGCGCAGGCGGGCCGGCAAGUUGGAAGUGAAAUCUAUGGGCUUAACCCAUAAACUGCUUUCAAAACUGCUGGUCUUGAGUGAUGGAGAGGCAGGCGGAAUUCCGUGUGUAGCGGUGAAAUGCGUAGAUAUACGGAGGAACACCAGUGGCGAAGGCGGCCUGCUGGACAUUAACUGACGCUGAGGCGCGAAAGCGUGGGGAGCAAACAGGAUUAGAUACCCCUGUAGUUGACUGACU